GAUUUGUGUUCAUCCAGAAGCAGCAGCAGAGUUCUUCACAAGCUGGAACUUUAACAAGAACUAAAUCAGGACAUUAAGCUUGAAGAUCCCAGGAUUUACAAAAGUAAUAUAGAUUAAAAGUGAAGCUGAAUAACAUAGGAAACAACAAAUGUAAGAAAAAGGGAUGUUGGCCCAGAAAACACAGCUCUGCUAUAAUGAUCUUCACCUUCAAGACCGCUUUUUUUUCCCCAGCCUCUUUGGGCAUUUCGAACUAUGCCAAGUAUUAGUCUCCAGUUAAAUAAAAUAAAAUAAAAAAGAAGAAAAAAAGAAAAGAAAAAAAAAAAAAGUAAAAAAAAAACGUAAAGUAAGUAACUNACCACGUUAAUAAAAGUAAAAUAAAAAAUAAAAGAAAAGAAAAAAGAAAAAAGAAAAAAAAAAAAAAGUUACAGUGUACAUUUAAAGAAUUCGAGGGCUGCUCUUAUCGUUGAGGCUACCUGUAUUCACAUGACGAUUGUACAACAGGUAAUUAACAUUAGCAAAAGGGGGACAGG
rnacentral:lncRNA from 1 species